ensembl:lncRNA
CUUAAACUAGCAGAUUCUUUCCAACAAUUCAAGCAAGUUUGCUCCCUGUCCCUAUAGAUGAAAAGAAUUUCAAAUAUGAUCUAAGGAAGUCCAACCACCUCAUUUUACAGAUGAAGAAAAUGAGUCCCAGAAAGCUAAAGGAGUGUUCAUUGUUGCUGCUGCUGCUGCUGCUAAGUCACUUCAGUCGUGUCUGACUCUGUGCGACCCCAUAGAUGGAAGCCCACCAGAUUCCCCCGUCCCUGGAAUUCUCCAGGACAUCCAGUACUAUGUUGAAUAGAAGUGGUGAAAGAAAUCAUCCUUGCCUUG